rfam:Oryza meridionalis cultivar OR44 (W2112) chromosome 6, whole genome shotgun sequence.
CUUAAGUGCAGUUGUGAGUUUUCGUGCCCAACGUUUCGCUCGACUUGUUUGAAUUUUUUUAUAUUAGUAUUUUUAUUUUUAUUAGAGGAUAAAACAUGAAUAUUAUGUUGUGUGUCACUUAUUUUUAAAAAGUUUUUCAAAACUUUUUUAAAUAAGACAGACGGUCAAAUGUUAAAGACGAAAACGCACAACUGCACUUGAA